CUGGGGCAAACUGGAGAGGAAAAUGCUGCUGCAUAAUGUCAUCUUCUGAUAUCAAAAUGCUGCUCAGAGAAGUCUUAUCCUGCAGUUGGAAGCUUGGGAACACAGCUGAUCUGUUCUGCAGUGGCUCUGCAUCAAUCAGUGUUGGUGCCAUGCCUUGGAUUCAUUAACCAGCUGGGAUAUCCUGUUGGGAGCCUGGAGCUGUUCAGAAGGACUUUGGCCGUCCCAGAGCCUGCUCUCAGUGAUGCAGCCAAGAGCUGGGCUGCUCCCUGGCCCUGCAGCUGGAGGAGUUAUGGCUGGGUGAGGAGGGAACGUGGAUGUUCUCCUUGCAGCUCCAGCUGAGGAAGAGGAGGUGAAAUGUGAGUGUAUGAAAGGUCACAGCUGGCCAGAGUCCACCUGGGUGAGUCCUGUCUGGCAUUUUGAGUGUGCAUUUCUGUCUGCUCAGCAAAGAGCUGGGUGUGGUUCUUGCCUCUUG